rnacentral:rRNA from 1 species
UACAGAGGUCCCAAGCGUUGUUCGGAUUCAUUGGGCGUAAAGGGUGCGUAGGUGGCGUCGUAAGUCGGGUGUGAAAUCUCGGGGCUUAACUCCGAAACUGCAUUCGAUACUGCGGUGCUUGAGGACUGGAGAGGAGGCUGGAAUUCAUGGUGUAGCAGUGAAAUGCGUAGAGAUCAUGAGGAAGACCAGUGGCGAAGGCGGGUCUCUGGACAGUUCCUGACACUGAGGCACGAAGGCCCAGGGGGAGCAAAACGGGG